rnacentral:rRNA from 1 species
ACGGAGGCAGCAGUGAGGAAUUUUGCACAAUGGGGGAAACCCUGAUGCAGCAACGCCGCGUGGAGGAUGAAGCCCCUUGGGGCGUAAACUCCUUUCGAUCGGGACGAUUAUGACGGUACCGGAUGAAGAAGCACCGGCUAACUCUGUGCCAGCAGCCGCGGUAAUACAGAGGGUGCAAGCGUUGUUCGGAAUUACUGGGCGUAAAGGGUGCGUAGGCGGUGCGGUAAGUCUCUUGUGAAAUCUCCGGGCUCAACUCGGAGUCUGCAAGGGAAACUGCCGUGCUGGAGUAUGGGAGAGGUGAGUGGAAUUCCUGGUGUAGCGGUGAAAUGCGUAGAUAUCAGGAGGAACACCUGUGGCGAAAGCGGCUCACUGGACCAUUACUGACGCUGAUGCACGAAAGCUAGGGGAGCAAACAGGAUUAGAUACCCCAGUAGUCA